rnacentral:rRNA from 1 species
AUACGGGGGGGGCGAGCGUUGUCCGGAAUCAUUGGGCGUAAAGGGUGAGUAGGCGGGAUGGUAAGUCAGAGGUGAAAGUCCAGGGCUCAACUCUGGAUCUGCCUCUGAUACUGCUGUCCUUGAGUGCGGGAGAGGGAAGUGGAAUUCCCGGUGUAGCGGUGAAAUGCGUAGAUAUCGGGAAGAACACCAGUGGCGAAGGCGGCUUCCUGGCCCGCAACUGACGCUGAAUCACGAAAGCGUGGGGAGCAAACAGGAUUAGAUACCCUAGUAGUCC